GUCCUAGCCGUAAACGAUGGACACUAGGUGUCGGGAGUGUCGACUCUCCCGGUGCCGAAGCUAACGCAUUAAGUGUCCCGCCUGGUGAGUACGGCCGCAAGGCUAAAACUCAAAGGAAUUGACGGGGGCCCCGCACAAGCAGUGGAGCAUGUGGUUUAAUUCGACGCAACGCGAAGAACCUUACCAAGGCUUGACAUGUACGUGGUAGGAAUCUGAAAGGUGACCGACCCUUCGGGGAGCGUACACAGGUGGUGCAUGGCUGUCGU
rnacentral:rRNA from 1 species